rnacentral:tRNA from 1 species
GGGCGUAGCUCAGUUGGUUAGAGCGCCAGGUUGUGAUCCUGGAAGUCGCGGGUUCGAUUCCCGUCGCU